CACGGAAAACAUACAACCUACGAGCCAUACUGUUUCAGAGUCAGCUCCGGUUCUUGCCACCAACAGACGUGUACCUGUGGAGGGUGUCAGUUUCAGCAUCACCUGUACACUAGAUGCAGCUAUCAGUGGAACUACUCUCUUCUACAAGGGUCCUACUUCUAACCAGGAGGCUGCUCAUCAUCAGUCAGCUGUGGGACAUCUGUAUCAGGAUACAAUGUGAGUCUAGACAGGACAUCCAGGAUCGUGACUCUAGACAUCGCAUCAGCAGAUUCCAUCAGAGACAGCGGGACAUGGAGAUGUACUGAUGGGGCUACAGGGUCAAAUAACAUAACAUUGUCACAGUUUGCAGCUAUACUGAACUGGAGCUCUGUGACCUUCUCUCCACAACGGACUUCUCUCCCGUCCUCCGUGACAUCCCAGAACACCAUCUCCGUCACUGUGACCACUCCAUGUGCUGCCCCUGUCGCCGUCAUCACAUGGAGAUACCAACAGGGUGUGAGUGGCGUCCCUCCCAGCAGUACAUCUUCCACCCAGGGAUCAUGUCCAUCAGGUCAGGUCCAGACAACCAACACUCU